rnacentral:rRNA from 1 species
GCUUACGGCCACACCACCCUGAGCGCGGCCCGAUCUCGUCUGAUCUCGGAAGCUAAGCAGGGUCGGGCCCUGGUUAGUACUUGGAUGGGAGACCGCCUGGGAAUACCAGGUGCCGUAAGCU